UCAUAGUGCACCGGGAUUUUAUCAAAAAAGAGUAAAAGUUGGGGAAAGGCGCCAUCACAUUUUUUGUACUGAUAGACAGAUGCAACUACUCGCACGCGCAAAAACUUGGUAUAUGGAUGCAUCUUUUCGGGUGGUGAACAAGCCAUGGUCUCAGCUGUUUUCCAUCCACGCCUUCAUUAAGACUGGAGAGACCACCCGACAGUUACCAUUGGUGUUUUGUGUAAUGUCGGGUAAAAGCCAAGACGACUAUUAUAAGUCAGUGAUGAUAUGUGACUCUUUCCACCUUCCAGCAAUAAUUAUUGAGAAUUUACCAAGGACUCCAUUGGCAUUGAAUCGAAGAAAAACAGUUUCAAUAUUGGAUGUAUAUGCAAAUCACCCAGAAAAAGAUCAUGUAAUAACAAAAGAAAUUAUAAAAGAAAAAAAUGGAAGAAGAAAUGGCUGAAA